rnacentral:rRNA from 1 species
AAAAUCAUAUACCGAAUCUGUGGGUUUAUAAAAUUUUCGAAUUUUAUAAGCGGUAGCGGAACGUUCUGUAAGCCUGUGAAGGAGUACCCGUGAGGGACUCUGGAGGUAUCAGAAGUGCGAAUGCUGACAUAAGUAACGAUAAAAGAAGUGAAAAACUUCUUCGCCGAAAAUCCAAGGGUUUCUGCGCAAGGUUAAUCCGCGCAGAGUUAGUCGGCACCUAAGGCGAGGGCGAAAGCCGUAGUCGAUGGAAAUAAGGUUAAUAUUCCUUAACCAGAUGGUAGUGACGGAUCUUGUAAGUUGUGUACUCUUAAUGGAUUGAGUAUGCCGCGAAAAGGUUCCAAGAAAUAGCUCCAUCAUUAGACCGUACCCUAAACCGACACAGGUGGAUUAAUAGAGUAUAUUUAGGCGCUUGAGAGAAUGAUGUUGAAGGAACUCGGCAAAAUGCUUCCGUAACUUCGGGAUAAGGAAGACCUGUUUUUAGGCAACUAGAGAUGGGUGGCACAAGCCAGGGAGAAGCGACUGUUUAUCAAAAACACAGGGCUCUGCUAACACGUAAGUGGAUGUAUAGGGUCUGACGCCUGCCCGGUGCUGGAAGGUUAAUGCGGUUGGUGUUACCCAACUU